GCAGGUGGGGCCUGUGGCACAUCAGGGGGAGGAGCCUGCGGCCCACCGCAAAGGAGCCACGAGAGGACACACGUGGCCGGAGCUGCAGAACAGGGGCCUCCAGCAGGAGCCGAGGACCUAGAAGGCAGCGGGCCUUCGCCAGGACUCAGCAGGCAGGAAGGCAGACCCAGGGCCAUCUGUGUGUCAUCUGGCCAGGGGUCGCCUGCCAGGACCAGCUCCAUCAGGAGCCCGAGGAGUGGAGGCCUAGACACCAGCUCCCCAGGACUGAGAGGUCACCUCUCCUGCCAACCCCUGAGCAGCCAAAAUGAGCAGCGUUUUCCUUCCUCCAGGAACCUGAAGGGCAUCCGAGGUCCAGCGGCACCGAGCUCCCCGCCUGAGCUCAUCACCCCAGGCAGCCAGCACAGGGCGAAGCCAAGGGAAGGACCUGGAGCUUUGCCCUGAGCCCCAGGGCAGAGGGAGCCCUCACACUAGGAGCCUGUGCCUCCAGAGGCCACCUGCUUGUCCCACAAGCCCAGCCCCUGGGCUCAGAGCAGCACCCACACACCCAGCCAGACGUGCCCCAGGCCUCUCCGUGCAGAGGAGCCUGCAGAGUGUUGUAGAAUGACCGCGCUGGGCACACGCUCCCUCCUACCUGGGGCGGCACAUCACCACCAGAGCCUGGAACACAGCUGGCCUCCAAAUAGAUACAGCUGAGCUCGCUCAGACAUGGUGGCCCUGGCAAAGAGACGGGCCCCAGCCCUGCGGCGAGAGCAGCCAGGCAGAGGGGGAGACACGGUAAGGAGCAAGGGGACCCAGGACACCCUGAGCCAGCCUGCCCCCCCUCCCCGCCUCUGACUGGCUCCUGUGAGAGCCCGUCAACCCUUUCCUUAUCCAUCUCAGAAUCUGUGAAAUAGGAGCAGGGAGCGUUUCCCUCCAGAGCAAUGAGGUCCUGGAGCCUUUGAAGGAGCUACUGGGUGGCACAGGGUGGCCCCCAGAUUUCCCUUCAAGAGGGACACACUGCCCAGCAUGGGGUAAGCCUGGGCCCACAGGGCUGCUGCCUCUGGGCUCACCUGCUUUCCCACACAAUGUAGCUGCAUGGGAGGUCCAGUCACUGCGUGUGACACAGGACACUCAGGCAGGGGACGCCACAUAAUGCAGGACACUUGCUCUGGGGCUCCUAGUGAGACGGGACAGGGUCUCCUGGGGCCUGCCCCAGAAGUCAGCCACCUUUCCUGCCCAUCUUAGUCCAUCAAGGGGCACAGCCAAGACCAGCCCUGGGCCUCCACACACAGCAGGAAGCUGCCUCCCAGCUUGGAGGCCGGAAGACCAACGUCAAGGUGUGCAGGCGGGGUGGCAGGUGGAGGCCCGCCCCACCAAUGACAACUUGAGGUGGCACCCUGGUGUCCAGACAUGGAAGAGCAGAAGGGGGGAUUGAAGCCUCUUGCGAGGCCCUGGCUGGGUGCAGACCUUUUAGUAUAAAAAGGGCCACGCAUCUUCA